CCUACGGGCGGCAGCAGUGGGGAAUAUUGGGCAAUGGGCGCAAGCCUGACCCAGCAACGCCGCGUGAAGGAAGAAGGCUUUCGGGUUGUAAACUUCUUUUGUCAGGGACGAGUAGAAGACGGUACCUGACGAAUAAGCCACGGCUAACUACGUGCCAGCAGCCGCGGUAAUACGUAGGUGGCAAGCGUUGUCCGGAUUUACUGGGUGUAAAGGGCGUGUAGCCGGGUUGACAAGCCAGGUGUGAAAUCCUGCGGCUUAACCGCAGAACUGCAUUUGAAACUGUUGAUCUUGAGUACUGGAGAGGCAGACGGAAUUCCUAGUGUAGCGGUGAAAUGCGUAGAUAUUAGGAGGAACACCAGUGGCGAAGGCGGUCUGCUGGACAGCAACUGACGGUGAGGCGCGAAAGCGUGGGGAGCAAACAGGAUUAGAUACCCCUGUAGUC
rnacentral:rRNA from 1 species